GACGAACGCUGGCGGCGUGCCUAAUACAUGCAAGUAGAACGCUGAAGGAGGAGCUUGCUUCUCUGGAUGAGUUGCGAACGGGUGAGUAACGCGUAGGUAACCUGCCUGGUAGCGGGGGAUAACUAUUGGAAACGAUAGCUAAUACCGCAUAAGAGUAGAUGUCGCAUGACAUUUGCUUAAAAGGUGCAAUUGCAUCACUACCAGAUGGACCUGCGUUGUAUUAGCUAGUUGGUGAGGUAACGGCUCACCAAGGCAACGAUACAUAGCCGACCUGAGAGGGUGAUCGGCCACACUGGGACUGAGACACGGCCCAGACUCCUACGGGAGGCAGCAGUAGGGAAUCUUCGGCAAUGGACGGAAGUCUGACCGAGCAACGCCGCGGGAGUGAAGAAGGUUUUCGGAUCGUAAAGCUCUGUUGUAAGAGAAGAACGAGUGUGAGAGUGGAAAGUUCACACUGUGACGGUAUCUUACCAGAAAGAGACGGCUAACUACGUG
rnacentral:rRNA from 1 species